rnacentral:rRNA from 1 species
GACGAACGCUGGCGGCGUGCUUAACACAUGCAAGUCGAACGGUAAGGCCCUUCGGGGUACACGAGUGGCGAACGGGUGAGUAACACGUGGGUGAUCUGCCCUGCACUUCGGGAUAAGCCUGGGAAACUGGGUCUAAUACCGGAUAGGACCACUGCCUGCAUGGGUGGUGGUGGAAAGCUUUUGCGGUGUGGAGAUGGGGCCGCGGCCUAUCAGCUUGUUGGUGGGGUGAUGGCAUACCAAGGCGACGACGGGUAGCCGGCCUGAGCGGGUGACCGGCCAAACUGGGGAAGAGAUACGGCCCAGACUCCUACGGGGGGCAGCAGUGGGGAAUAUUGCACAAUGGGCGCAAGCCUGAUGCAGCGACGCCGCGUGAGGGAUGACGGCCUUCGGGUUGUAAACCUCUUUCAGCACCGACGAAGCGCAAGUGACGGUAGGUGCAGAAGAAGGACCGGCCAACUACGUGCCAGCCGCCGCGGUAA